GGGACACGUGGUAUCCUGUCUGAAUAUGGGGGGACCAUCCUCCAAGGCUAAAUACUCCUGACUGACCGAUAGUGAACCAGUACCGUGAGGGAAAGGCGAAAAGAACCCCGGCGAGGGGAGUGAAAAAGAACCUGAAACCGUGUACGUACAAGCAGUGGGAGCACGCUUAGGCGUGUGACUGCGUACCUUUUGUAUAAUGGGUCAGCGACUUAUAUUCUGUAGCAAGGUUAACCGAAUAGGGGAGCCGAAGGGAAACCGAGUCUUAACUGGGCGUUAAGUUGCAGGGUAUAGACCCGAAACCCGGUGAUCUAGCCAUGGGCAGGUUGAAGGUUGGGUAACACUAACUGGAGGACCGAACCGACUAAUGUUGAAAAAUUAGCGGAUGACUUGUGGCUGGGGGUGAAAGGCCAAUCAAACCGGGAGAUAGCUGGUUCUCCCCGAAAGCUAUUUAGGUAGCGCCUCGUGAAUUCAUCUCCGGGGGUAGAGCACUGUUUCGGCAAGGGGGUCAUCCCGACUUACCAACCCGAUGCAAACUGCGAAUACCGGAGAAUGUUAUCACGGGAGACACACGGCGGGUGCUAACGUCCGUCGUGAAGAGGGAAACAACCCAGACCGCCAGCUAAGGUCCCAAAGUCAUGGUUAAGUGGGAAACGAUGUGGGAAGGCCCAGACAGCCAGGAUGUUGGCUUAGAAGCAGCCAUCAUUUAAAGAAAGCGUAAUAGCUCA
rnacentral:rRNA from 1 species